rnacentral:sRNA from 1 species
UAAAAAUAUUUUGAUAUUUAGGUUUUGGGACUAUCGUAGCCUGUUAUCAAUGCGAAAUAAGGAGACGCCCAGAAGACGAAGGCUUUGAAAAUUUUUUACAGAACCUGGCAUGUUCCAAAUGCAUUCAAGAUAACAUUUCUCAGGGUAUAGAUAAUUCAAAUCACCAGACUAACCUUGACCUUGAAAGUGAAGAGAGCGCCAGAGCCAAUGAUGUUUCUACAUUAGGUGGAGCAUCAACAGGAGCCUUGCCAGUUUUAAACCAGAGCGAUGACUAUUGUUGAUAGUUGUGCCUGUGUGCGUGUGUUUGUAUAUAUAUAUAUAUGUGUGUGUGUUGUUGUUUUUAUUAUUAUGACUUAUUACUUAAGCUCAUAGCAUAAU